GAGGGGAAGUGCCUCUCGUCUUAUGUCCAGCGUGGAGCCAUGGAGUGGGGCAAUAUUUGGCCGGACGUACGGAUCCAGACUGCGCUGCUGUUUUGUCUCUACGGUUUCCGUUGUUUAUUGCCCUCGUGCUGAGAGUUCUCCCUUUGGGGACCUAGAGAGACACACCAUUGAUUCGUUGGGGUGCAGUGUGGAACACAUUUGAUUUUCAUUCGUGUGGUUGCAGUGGAGAGCACUAGAGUGUGAGGGCUUAUCUAUUGGGGGGUUUAGGAUUUUCUCCCUGUAAGUGCUCUCAGCGACCCAGGUGGUGCUUUCAGCUUUUUGUUUGUGGUUGUUUUGUUUGUUUCCUAUGUAAUUUGUUGUGGUUCUCUUUUUCGUUGUUUUUGUUUGUUCUGCCUCCAGCUAGCAUAAUAUAUUGUAAUUGGCAUCCCUCUUUUUGUUUAUGGGUAUUUGAAAGGUAUCUGUAUCGAACAUGUCCCCUUGUGAAUUGUGACUUCAGUGUGUUUCUAAACCGAAAAUUAUUUUUGCUGUAAUAAAACAUUGGUUUUAACUGG